GCUGUGUAGGUGUGUGUGCUGUGUAGGUGUGUGUGUUGUGUAGGUGUGUGUGCUUUGUAGGUGUGUGUGUUGUGCAGGUGUGUGUGCUUUGUAGGUGUGUGUGUUGUGUAGGUGUGUGUGCUGUGUAGGUGUGUGUGUUGUGUAGGUGUGUGUGCUUUGUAGGUGUGUGUGUUGUGUAGGUGUGUGUGCUUUGUAGGUGUGUGUGUUGUGUAGGUGUGUGUGCUGUGUAGGUGUGUGUGUUGUGUAGGUGUGUGUGCUGUGUAGGUGUGUGUGUUGUGUAGGUGUGUGUGCUUUGUAGGUGUGUGUGUUGUGUAGGUGUGUGUGCUGUGUAGGUGUGUGUGUUGUGUAGGUGUGUGUGCUGUGUAGGUGUGUGUGUUGUGUAGGUGUGUGUGCUUUGUAGGUGUGUGUGUUGUGUAGGUGUGUGUGUUGUGUAGGUGUGUGUGCUUUGUAGGUGUGUGUGUUGUGUAGGUGUGUGUGCUGUGUAGGUGUGUGUGUUGUGUAGGUGUGUGUGCUUUGUAGGUGUGUGUGUUGUGUAGGUGUGUGUGUUGUGUAGGUGUGUGUGCUGUGUAGGUGUGUGUGCUGUGUAGGUGUGUGUGCUGUGUAGGUGUGUGUGUUGUGUAGGUGUGUGUGCUGUGUAGGUGUGUGUGUUGUGUAGGUGUGUGUGCUGUGUAGGUGUGUGUGCUGUGUAGGUGUGUGUGUUGUGUAGGUGUGUGUGCUGUGUAGGUGUGUGUGUUGUGUAGGUGUGUGUGCUGUGUAGGUGUGUGUGUUGUGUAGGUGUGUGUGCUGUGUAGGUGUGUGUGCUGUGUAGGUGUGUGUGCUGUGUAGGUGUGUGUGCUGUGUAGGUGUGUGUGUUGUGUAGGUGUGUGUGCUGUGUAGGUGUGUGUGCUGUGUAGGUGUGUGUGCUGUGUAGGUGUGUGUGCUGUGUAGGUGUGUGUGUUGUGUAGGUGUGUGUGCUGUGUAGGUGUGUGUGUUGUGUAGGUGUGUGUGCUGUGUAGGUGUGUGUGUUGUGUAGGUGUGUGUGCUGUGUAGGUGUGUGUGCUGUGUAGGUGUGUGUGCUGUGUAGGUGUGUGUGCUGUGUAGGUGUGUGUGCUGUGUAGGUGUGUGUGUCUGUGUAGGUGUGUGUGC